rnacentral:rRNA from 1 species
GAUGAACGCUGGCGGCGUGCCUAAUACAUGCAAGUCGAGCGAACAGAUGAGGAGCUUGCUCCUCUGACGUUAGCGGCGGACGGGUGAGUAACACGUGGAUAACCUACCUAUAAGACUGGGAUAACUUCGGGAAACCGGAGCUAAUACCGGAUAAUAUAUUGAACCGCAUGGUUCAAUAGUGAAAGACGGUUUUGCUGUCACUUAUAGCUGGAUCCGCGCCGCAUUAGCUAGUUGGUAAGGUAACGGCUUACCAAGGCAACGAUGCGUAGCCGACCUGAGAGGGGGAUCGGCCACACUGGAACUGAGACACGGUCCAGACUCCUACGGGAGGCAGCAGUAGGGAAUCUUCCGCAAUGGGCGAAAGCCUGACGGAGCAACGCCGCGUGAGUGAUGAAGGUCUUCGGAUCGUAAAACUCUGUUAUUAGGGAAGAACAAAUGUGUAAGUAACUAUGCACGUCUUGACGGUACCUAAUCAGAAAGCCACGGCUAACUACGUG